rfam:Camelus ferus unplaced genomic scaffold scaffold370, whole genome shotgun sequence.
GAGGGUAUAGCUCAGGGGUAGAGGGUGUGCUUAGCAUGCAUGAGGUCCUGGGUUCAAUCCCCAGUACCUCUA